rnacentral:misc_RNA from 1 species
AAGUCGGUAACAAGGUUUCCGAUAAGGCUGGAACCGCUUGCAGGAAGGAUCCAAUUGAAAGAAUUAGGGGCGUUCGCGGCCAAGUUCUCACCCUUUGUAUACCGAAACCAUGUUGCUUUGGCAGGCCCCUGCAUUUCUCGGGCCUGCCAGAGGUUAUAAACCCUAGAAUCUCUGCUGUCUGAGUACUAUACAAUAGUUAAAA